rnacentral:sRNA from 1 species
UCUCGUAUAUUGAUAGCAACUGGUGUUU